rnacentral:rRNA from 1 species
AGCAAUACAGGAAAGCGGCGGAAGGGAGAGGACAACAUGGGAAACUGCCCUGGGGACGAGGAUAGCGUCGGGAAACUGACGGUAAUACUCGAUAAUGUUUGCGGACCAAAGGUGUGAUUCCGCCCCAGGAUGUGCCCAUGCCCCAUUAGCUAGUUGGCGGUGUAAUGGACCACCAAGGCUAUGAUGGGUAGCUGGUGUGAGAGCACGACCAGCCUCACUGGCACUGAGACACUGGCCAGACACCUACGGGUGGCUGCAGUCGAGAAUCUUCGGCAAUGGACGAAAGUCUGACCGAGCGACGCCGCGUGCGGGAUGAAGGCCUUCGGGUUGUAAACCGCUGUCGAGGGGAAUCAAAUGCAAGGGGGUUCUCCCCCCUGCUUGAGAGAACCCUGGAGGAAGGGGAGGCUAAGCUCGUGCCAGCAGCCGCGGUAAGACGAGCUCCCCAAACGUUAUUCGGUAUCACUGGGCUUAAAGAGUUCGUAGGCGGCGAAGUAGGUGAGGUGUG